rnacentral:tRNA from 1 species
GGGCCCGUAGCUCAAUCAGGCAGAGCAAUCGUUUGAUACACGAGAGGUUGGGGGUUCAAAUCCCCUCGGGUCCA